GUUAUUUUGUAAAGGUACACAUAAUUCGACCAUGGUAGUUUCAUCUAGUAAGUAAUUUCAAAGUAAAUUAAAUCAGGAAAAUUUCGUAAUCAAUUCAACAAGAAUGCCUUUAAUGAACGACAAAAUUGGUUUAGGCUGAGAGAAUUUCGAA